GGUAAAAUGGCUGAGAACAAGCGAUAAGCUGUAAACUUAUUUACGAAAAUUAAUUUUCUUUUACC
rnacentral:tRNA from 2 species